CAGUCGCGCGGGAAUACGGAGGGGGCUAGCGUUGUUCGGAAUUACUGGGCGUAAAGCGCACGUAGGCGGAUCAGAAAGUCAGAGGUGAAAUCCCAGGGCUCAACCUUGGAACUGCCUUUGAAACUCCUGGUCUUGAGGUCGAGAGAGGUGAGUGGAAUUCCGAGUGUAGGGGUGAAAUUCGUAGAUAUUCGGAGGAACACCAGUGGCGAAGGCGGCUCACUGGCUCGAUACUGACGCUGAGGUGCGAAAGCGUGGGGAGCAAACAGGAUUAGAUACCCGUGUAGUCCCUGUCUCUUAUACA
rnacentral:rRNA from 1 species